GAAAACCAAAGCAGGACAAUGGAUGAUGCUCCGAACAGGGUUCCAUCUAACAGAAUCGAGAUACAAAACGUAUAUAUAUAUUUAUAUUUAUUUAUAUAUUUAUAUUAUUUGUAUUAUUUGUAUAUAUUUAUAUUUAUAUUUUUAUAUAUACAUAUAUUUACACAUAUUUAUAUAUUUACAUAUUUAUACAAUGUGUUUAUAUAUUUUUAUAUUUAUUUAUGUAUUAUAUAUUUGUAUAUAUUUAUAUUAUUUAUAUAUUUGUAUUUGUAUUUAUAUUAUUUAUAUAUUAUAUAGAAAUAUAUUUAUACAUAUAUUUAUAUAUUUACAUAUUUAUAUAAUAUAUUUAUACAUUUUAUAUAUAGUUUUAUAUAUUUGUAUUUAUAUUAUUUAUAUAUAUUUAUAUUUGUAUUUAUGUUUAUUUUGUUCAUAUAAUUUAUAUUUAAAUAUAUAUUUAUACAGAUAUUUAUAUAUUUACAUAUUUAUAUGAUAUAUUUAUUUAUAUUUAUUUUUGUAUAUUAUAUUUAUAUUUAUAUUAUAUAUAUUUAUAUUUAUACUUAUAUUAUUUAUAUAUAUCAUAUAUAUAUAUUAUAUUGGAAAUGUCCAGAAUGGGAAAUCUAUAGAAGCAGAAGGCAGAUGAGUGGUUGCCAAGAGCUGGAGGGUGAGGGGUAACUACUGAGUGGGUGCAGGGUGUCCUUCUGGGUGACAGUACUGUUUUACACCUGAGUGGGCGUGUUUGUAGUGCGGUGCCAUAUUUGUUGUAAAUGACACCAAAUCGCAUACAUUUAAACGGUUCAUCCUAUGCUAUGUGGAUUCACCUCUCUUUAAAAUGAGUUCUCAGUGCACAUAGGACUCCAAGUGUUCCAUUCUGCAACCUUCCAUUAGCCUUUCCCCCUUUGUGAUGAGAGGUACAGCGAUGGCCGCUGGGAGAGAAAGACGAGUAUAUACAUAUACACACACAUACAGUCCAACUAGGAUAGAGCUGCACACUAACUAGCUUCCUGGGAGUGGUUGGAUGUUGCAGUAAAAUUAAAAGAGCUUGUACAUCCUGAUCCCAUGAGUUCCCAUUUCACAUGAAUCUGCACAUUCUUUCUGUUUCUCUGUCAGCUGUCCCCAUGGACACUGUCCCCAUGGACAGUUGUUACCACACCUGUUACCAUGGAUGGUGAUAGCAUGGCCCCACACCACACUAUCUCUAAGCAUUCUAUAGCCUAGCACAGCUUCCUGUCACAGAGUCUGCUCACACUCCCAACACCCUGUGCAAUCAUUACUCAGCAAACUGGAGCCCAACAACCAGAUUUAUGUGUUCCAUGCUCAAUGUGCAAUACAUCCACACAAUUAACUUACAGACAAUUGAUAAGGAUAUAAACUGUCCACCUAGUAAAGAUAUAGUUUAUUCAU
rnacentral:lncRNA from 1 species